GACGAAGGAUGCAAGCGUUAUCCGGAUUCAUUGGGUUUAAAGGGUGCGUAGGCGGCCUGAUAAGUCAGUGGUGAAAUCUCCUCGCUUAACGAGGAAACUGCCAUUGAUACUGUUGGGCUUGAGUACAGAUGCUGUGGGCGGAAUAUGACAUGUAGUGGUGAAAUACAUAGAGAUGUCAUAGAACACCGAUUGCGAAGGCAGCUCACAAAACUGUAACUGACGCUGAGGCACGAAAGUGCGGGGAUCAAACAGG
rnacentral:rRNA from 1 species